CAGGUCAGUGGCUUUGAAGGUGGCUGUGAGCCCUUUGCCCCCUAUAGCACCAGACAGAAUCAGGGCUGAGAGUGAGAAGCUGUUCUCACAGUCCAGGCCACUGGAGAGUGCUGGGGAAAGGGUUUGCCUUCCUUUGAUUGGAUCCCAGUCAAAUGCUGCUGGCUUCACGAAGCCUUCCUCAACCACUCGGACUCUCCUUCUCUGAACGCCCAUUAAACUGGACGAGCUGCCUGAAUUUGGAAACCUUCUUAAUCAGAAGUGCCUUUUUCCUAAGUGAGUCACAUCGGAAGCCCUUCCCCUCAAGAGCAAUGAUUAUUGCAGGCAUCCCCGAAGA